GUAAAAGCGAUGAUGGAAGAAAGUAGACUACGGCCGCGCUUUACAGGGAGGAAACGCCGAAGACUGAGAGCGUUUCCAGGCGCAAGUAGUCGAAGUUCGCUUCCUAGCUUUCGGGCUGAAAUGAAGUAGGUCCGAACGGAUUUGACCGUUAAAGCAAUAGGGCAUCGACGUUACGGUCCGUGCCCAAAAAACGAGCGGGCUUAAAGCCAAUUUGGGUGGUACCGCGGAACAUGGCCUUUCGUCCCAUGC
rnacentral:ncRNA from 1 species